rnacentral:rRNA from 1 species
AGCAGCAGCCGCGGGAACACGAAGGGUGCAAGCGUUAAUCGGAAUUACUGGGCGUAAAGCGUGCGUAGGCGGUUUGUUAAGUCUGUUGUGAAAUCCCCGGGCUCAACCUGGGAAUGGCAAUGGAUACUGGCAAGCUAGAGUGUGUCAGAGGAUGGUGGAAUUCCCGGUGUAGCGGUGAAAUGCGUAGAGAUCGGGAGGAACAUCAGUGGCGAAGGCGGCCAUCUGGGACAACACUGACGCUGAGGCACGAAAGCGUGGGGAGCAAACAGGAUUAGAUACCCCAUAGUCCCUGUCUCUUAUACA